rnacentral:lncRNA from 1 species
GAAGCGGAAACCAGAAGACUAAUCCAGAAAAAUAAAGUUUCCGAUGCCAAGAAACUGAAUGACAUAAAAAGAGACAUGGCCCAGCUAGAAUGGUAUAAGAAGAAAUCGGAAAUGGGUUACUACGAUUGCUUCAAAAACCAGGGGUCUAAAAGGGACCUCAACGUUGAACAGUUUAGGGGAAACCUCACAAUGUACUGGGAAGACAUGGUUGCACAAGUACAGAGGAAGCCCCAGGAGGAAGGAGCAACAUUUCGAACCCGUUGGUUCUAUGCAGGGACAGUUUAUAGGAGAAUGGUUGAACCACUGGACAUUGCUGCCUUCUAUAGAGAGGGUGGAACAGACUACAUAAACAAUGGAAGAUCUCUUCAUUACAAGCUGUUGCAGCAAUGGUAUGAAGAAGAUGUGAAACCCCCCUCUAGAGAUAAGCUUGAUUCCAAGAAGCAAAAGGUGUCUGGUAUCCUAACUGAGGAUUCUUUGUUUUGGGCACAUGUGGAGGAGGCCAUCUUGUCAUGCGAAUUGCUCAAGAGUAAAAACUGUACUCUUGAGCAGGGAAAAUCAUCAUGGGAUAAUCUAGUUAAGUUCGAGGAGUAUGUAAUGGAACAGAUUAACAACUAUGCAGCGUCCCCUGAGAUUUUCUUGCGGGAAAGCAGCUUCAUGAAAUGGUGGGGACUGUAUGAGGGCUACAUAGAUACUUGCAGUAAUUCCCAUGGGUCGCAAUUGAUCAACUUCAUGAAGAAACGUAGCUAUAUGAAGUAUGGUUAGAGGGGCAAUCCAGUUUGUGUGUUGUGUUUAUUGUUUUGUGAGCGUUCAAUGGAUAAAACUAGAAAGAGUGUGACCUUUUUCCCUUUUUCUUGGUUGCUGCCCAUAUUCUCAGCACUAUUUUCUUCCUUCUUUUCCUCUGUUUUUUUUGAUAGGAAAUGAAUAUUAUGAUGUUGCUGGGAUGCACUUNNNNNNNNNNNNNNNNNNNNNNNNNNNNNNNNNNNNNNNNNNNNNNNNNNNNNNNNNNNNNNNNNNNNNNNNNNNNNNNNNNNNNNNNNNNNNNNNNNNNAGGGGAAGAAAAACAUGUUUGUUUAGAUUCAACUCCACCAAAACUUGCAACAACUUCCCAUUGAAAAUUUCCUUUUAAGCUUCUGACUGACAUAAAACUAGAUAUGUUCCAGCUAGAACGGUACAAGAAAGAAAUCAAAAGAUGAGCACAAGUAGAGAGGAAGCCUCACCAGGAAGGGGCAGCUUUGCAAACCCUCUGGCUCUGUACAGGAACGAAUUAUAGAAAGAUGGUUGAACCACUUGACAUUGCUGCCUACCACAGAGAGGGUGGAAGACACUACAUAACCAAUGGAGGAUCUAAACAUUACACGCUAUUGGAGCAAUGAUGCAAUGAAGAGGAGAAGGGGGCUUUGUCUUCUCAUGCAAAUUGCUCUCAGAGCUCAGAACCUACUCCUGAAGGGAAAGAAUCAUCAUGGAGUGAUCUGGUUAAGUUUGAGGAUUUAUUUAUAUAAUUGAACUGAUUGGAAGCUAUGCAGUGUCGGCCCCCGCCCGAGCAGCUUCAUGAAACGGUGGAAAGAGUUGGAAGAAGUCAUAGAUACUUGCUAUAGGAGCUUCAUGAAGUAUGGAGAGGUGUGGCAUAGAUACUUGCAGUCUCUGAAUUUCCCAAAUCCAAUUUCAGAUUGUGUUUUUAGAUUCGUGGAACUUGUUUUCGGGCUUUUUGUUAGGUACAAUUGAGAUGGGCUGAACCGAAAGGCCCGCCAGGAUGAACAAUAUAAUGGGCCUGAAUUUUAAACCAGUGGAUGGGUUUUGUACUGGAUUCAGCUGUCUGAGCCCAAUGAGUAUUGAAUGUGUUUCUGUAUAAAAUUAAAUUUUUAACAUUGAAAUAUAAGGACUUACUUAAAAACACAUUUGGUAACUUUUUUUUUUUUUGGUUAAUAAUAAAUUUUUUUAAAAAAAAUUAAAAAUAUAUAAUUUUUUUAGAAUAAAUUUGAGGCAUGUUUAGGUAUUUUUUGUGGUAAAGAGUUUUGAGAAGCAAUGAGAAAUAUACAGAAUACUUUAAAAACUUUUGCAUAAGUAAGAUACUUACACGAGGCUUUUAUGAAAAAUAAAUCGAUAAAAACAAUUUUUAUAUUUGAAUUUCAAAACAUAAAACAACUUAGAACUGUUUUUAAAAACUGUUCUUAAAAAUAGUUUUCUAUUAACUCACAUUCAAGGAUGCUUUUAUCUUUUAUUUUUCUAUGUUUCAUCCUUGCAUAAAUGGAGUACAAAGUCGUAAGUUAAUCUAAUUAACAAAUAUAGAUAAUCAUCCGAUAAAUGAGUAAAUUAGGUGAUGAUCUCUUUAUAUAUGCAAGUAAUGGAAUGAAUGUGAUAAAAAAAUAAAAUAAAAAAGUAAGGGGAGAAAUGUUGUAAAUAAAAUGUUUUUAUUGUGGUUCAACGACCUAUCCACUUCCACACCUUGACAUAUUUCACAAUUUUAAAAGUUUUUUUAAUCAUGAUUCUCCUUAUUGUUCUUUAAGUCUGGAUUUCUUAAGUUUCAAUAGACUUUUACAAUCACUAAGAUGACGUUUGUUUUUUCACUUAAUUCUAAAUAUAAGUUAAAACUAAAUAAUAUUUAAUAAUAUCAAGUAUUAGGUUGUUUUUUUUAUAACAUUUUAUUUCUAUAUAAUAUUAAAAAGUAAAGAAAAAUCAGUAUGUUUUUUUUUUAUUUAAAAAAAGUCAAAUAUUUUGACUUUUUUUUAAGCUAAAAAUUUAUAAUAAAAAAUAAAAAAUAAACAAACAAACAAACAACUUGAAGUGUAAAAACAGAUUGUUUUCAAUAAAAAUUUUAAAAAAUAAACACCUUAUAAAUAAAAUUCCUUAACCACUCGUACAAUAGCUUCUUUAAGCACAAAAUGUAUUGAAGCGCUCACAAUGAAAAGAUAAACAAGUUUGGAUUUAAUAUAAUUUUGGGUUAUCUAAUUAAAAAGGUGUAGACCCCCGGAGGCAGACAGUUUUUUUAGUUAUUAUUAUUAUUUGUUUAUUUUUAAUUUUUCCUACCUUUUUCUUCCCAAGCCGCUCGACAUGAUGGGACUAAAGUGGGCUGGUUUUUGGGGCAGAGAGGGGACUCAAGUGGGCGUUUUUUUUUUUUUUUGGGCGGCAGAUGGGAUGGUGUACGGGGGAUGGCUUGUGGAGGAAGACUCAAAACAGGGGAAGGAAGCGAAAGAAAGGCAGGAAAAAAAGUGUUGGAGGACGGGGGGGAUACCUUGCUCAAGGAGAAAACUUUCAGGUAAAAUUUUCUGUGAACUCCAUGUUUCUUCGUUAUGACAUUAUUGUGCUCACUUCUUUUGUUGAUUCCAGGAUGUGAUUUGUUGGUCGGUUUGGAUGUCAUGGAUUAUUGGUUUAUUUUUGCUGAAUUUAUCCGUGUGCGGAGGUGCUCUGUUUGACUCUAUUCUGGUUUCCCUAACUCCUUCCAUAAGCACCUGAAUGUAUGAAUUCAUCCCUGAGCCCGAUUAUAUAAAAAUCAUGCUUUGUUCCCUGUGGUUUCUUCCCUCUGUUUGUUGCUCUAUUCCUUGUUGGUUGUGGGAAUGAGGUCAUCGAUGGCCAGGUUAUCGAAACUGGGGAAGUGACUUCGUGAACGGAUCACCUUCUAUGCACCCAUCUCAUCUUUCUCAUUCACUCAUCACGGCUACACUUCCAUGAUUACACCAUCCUCAGUCAAAUACAUAUCUCCAUACCCAUUUUUCACCUUUCCCGUACCUUCCUCACCUAUCCAUCACACCCAUCGUCAUAUCUAGUUCAUCACUAACCCAUUUUCCUCUCGCCAGCCGUGGUUAUGCUUCGUCCAUCUCAUGCAUACGAUCCCUCACUACUAUUCCUAUAUUCUCAUCCUUCCAAACUCCUCAACACAACACCUAACCCUCAUACCUGCACCCCGCCAUGCCCGCGCCUAGCUCACCCCCAUAGGAACCUCAAAGCCGUUCGCCUACUUGCAUGGGAGCCAUGCAUGCCGCCCCUCCCCGCGUCUUCCUGCACCGGCUAUGUGCGCGCCUGCACCAGCCACCAAUGGCGGCAGCGCCUUCUGGACGUCGCCAGGCCGCUGCCACCUGCUCCGGCAACGCGCGCGCCUGCACCAGCAGCCAUGGCGGCGGCACCUUCUGAACGUCACCAGACCGCCGCCACGGCUCCCCUCUUCCCCGCGCCGCCGCUGCUCCUCUUUUCCCCGCGCCGCCAUGGCUCUCCUCUUCAUCGUGCCGCCGGUGGAGUCUUCGCGGGUGGAGAGGCAAUUGGUGAAGAGAAGCUUUGCCCAUGAUGGUUUUUGGGCUUGGGUUUGAACUGGGAACCCAGGCCCAAGCCUAUGAAGAGAAGCCCAGGUUUAUGAAGGCUUUAAUUGCCUUGGGCUUGCCCAUUAAUAUCAUAUGGAUUGGGCUUGAUGAGGAUGGGGCUUAUUGGUGGAUUUGGGCUUGACUAGGUUUGGGCUUUAUUAGGGUUGCUGAUGGACUGGGUUUGGGCUCUAUUAUUAUUAUUAAUUCAACAUUUAAAAUACUAUUAUUAUCAUUGUUAUUAAUCAAACUUUUAAAAAUCUUAUUAUUACUAUUAUUAUUAUUACGUUUAUCAUUAUUAUUAUUUCUAUUCAACAUUUAAAAUAUUAUUAUCAUUAUUAUUAUUAAUUCAACAUUUAAAAUAUUAUUAUUAUCACUAUCAUUAAUCCAAACUUUCAAAACCCUAUAAUUAUUAUUACUAACCCAAAUUUCAAAAUCUAUUUAUUUAUUAUUAUUUAUUAUUAUCAUUAAUCCAAAUUUCAAAAUCUAUUUAUUAUUGUUAUCCUUAUCAUUAAACCCAACCUCCAAAAUCUCAUCAUUAUCAUUAUUAUUAAUUCAAACUUUCAACACCUAUUUAUUAUUAUUUAUUAUUAUCAUCAGUCCAAACCUCCAAGAUCUCAUCAUUAUUAUUAUAAUUAACUCAACUUUCAAAAUUUAUUUAUUAUUAUUAUCAUCAUUAAUCCAAGCUUUCAAAAAUCUCAUCAUUAUUGUUAUUAUUACCUCAACUUUCAAAAUCUUAUUUUUAUUAUUAUCAUUGAUUAAAACUUUCAAAACCUUAUUAUUAUUAUUAAUUCAAACUUUCUAACUUCCAAUUUCCAAGCCCAAUUUAUAAAAAUUCAACCUUCAAAUGAUACUCCAAAAUUCCGAUCUUUAAAACUCAAUUUCGAUUUCCGAAAAUUCUCAUACUCACUUUAAUCUAUUUAAUUAUUGUUAUUUUGAUUAUUUAUUUCAAAACCCCAUUUCAAAUCAAAUUCUCUAAAACUUCUGAUUCUCGAAUUAAAUUCCUAAUCCCAAAAAUUCUCAUGUUCGCACUAAAUUAUUUGAUCAUUGAUAUUUUAUUUAUUUAUUUAUUUCAAAACUCCAUUUUAAAUCAAAUUCUCUAAAACUUCUGAUUUCCGAAUUAAACUCCUAAUCCCAAAAAUUCUCAUGUUCUCAUUAAUUUAUUUAAUCAUUAGUAUUUUAUCUCCAUUUUAAAUCAACUCUUUAAAACUUCAGAUUUACAAAUUAAAUUCCUAAUCUUGAAAAUUCCCAUAUUCACAUUAAUUUAAUCACUAAUAGUUUGUUUAUUUAUCUUAAAAUUCUAUUUUAAACAAUUCUUUAAACUUUCUAACUUCUAAAUCUAAUUUCCAAUUUCAAAAAUUCCAGCAUUCCAUUCAUUUAUUUAAUCAUUAUUUUCGUCCUUAUUAUUAUUAGUCCAUUUAUUUACUUCAAAAUUUCAUUUUUAAACAUUUUUUUGAAUCCCAAUUUUCGAACUUAAUUUCCAAUUUCUAAAAUUCUAAUUUCCUUCAAGUUUGACAUCCCAAAAUUCCAACUCUUAAAUUUAAUUCUCAAGACUCCAAUCUUCAAAUAAUUUUCGAGACUCCAAUUUCCAAAUAAAUUUCAAAAAUUCAAUUUUCUCUCUAACAGUUUUAAUUCUCUUCGGGUUUCAAAUAAUCUUCGAUUUCUCUUGAUUUUAUAUAAACAUGAAUGCUAUUUUCAUAAUUCCAGAAUAAUGGGAUUUGUGAUAUUAAUUCCUGCAAAAAUGAAUGGGCUUUGGUGGGGGCCCAACAUACGUGCUUUCCUCAUGAUUGAUUGAUUGUUUGAUUGAUUUAAUUGCCAUGCGUGCUUGAUUUUAUUCUGCUCUAUGGCAUGCCCGAAAUUAUCCUUUAAUUGUGCACUAACCUCACUUUUUGAUAAGCGCAUUGUGGCUCGUCACCCAGGUACGUAUCUAUCCCCAUUCUGAUAUUUCCAUAUACAUGUUUUGAUUCUCCUAUGUGCAUGAUAGUUCCGGGUAUUCAUUGUUUUUCCUCAUCAAUUGCCAUGAUUGCUUCAUUUUAUUAGUAGAGACCCAUUUAGGGACUUAGAGGGGUGCUACGGUUCAUACCGUACCUUCCUGAUAAGUAACCUGACCCUCGGACCCGAUCCGGUUUUUCACAGACCACCUUUUCCAAAGUAAGGAGUCACACUUAGGGUUUUUCUUUCUUAUUUUGUUUACCCUUUUAAAAAUAAAACAAAAAUAAGUGGCGACUCCAAGUCAUUUUCUUAAACAAUAAAAAAUCAAAUUUUCAAAUAAAAAUCGAGUCCGCCAUUGAGUGGGAAACGCAUGAGCCGAAAUGCGGGGUCCACAAAAGGUCAUUGAAAACCCAAUUUUAGAAAUAUAACCCUUCAUCAUUUUUUUUAUCUCAUGUUAACAAAAAUGCUCUUAUUAUUUUCUUAUAAAAAUAAUCAUUUCUUUUAAAACACACUAUAAAUACUCCAAAUAGUCAGGGGCUUUUAUGUAUAAAAAAAUGAAUUACUCUUUAAAUAAAAAUAUUGGAGGGAAUAAAUUAACAAAUAUGAGGUAUUUCAUCCCUUUUAUCUAAUUAUUUCUAUAAUUUUAAGAGUUUAAGAAGGCUAGACAAAGACUAAUUAUUAGGCACAUUUUGUAAAAACACUAGUUAUUAGACACAUUUUUCGCUCAAUCAAUCAAUCACGGAGUUGACUAGACACUAAUUAUUGGACUUUUUUUUUUUUUUUUUUAUAAUAAGUGAAAGACAAGAAUACAAUCGACUACUUUGGUCAAUUAAACAAUCAUUCAGUUGACUAUAAACUAAUCUUUAGAUUUUUUUUUUUAUAAUAAUUGGAAGACAUGAAUACAAUCGAUUACUUUGAUUAAUUAAUCAAUUAUUCAAGAAAUUUAGAAAAAUAUUGGAUAAAAGAUAUAUAUAACGGAUUAUUUCAAAUUGAAACUUAAGAUUAUAAAUCUUACUUUUAAUGUUGAAAAAUCAUGUAAAACACAAGUUUUUAUCUUUGAAGUAAUCAAUUUCAUUUUUCACAAAAAAUCAUUAAUAAUGCAUGAAUGAAUUCUUUUAAAAAAUCUUAUAAAAAAUGUGAUUAUUUUUCAUUCCCAAAUACUUAGGUUCUAAAGAUCAAUUUUAAAGCAUACUUAUCCUUACUAUGCCUUACAAGAAAAUCUAUUCUAUACAUAUGAUCUUGUAAAAAAAUGUAAAUAAAAAAAUAAAAUAAAAUAAAAAGAAAAAAAAAAGCCUCUCUUGUUUUCCUCUUUUGACUGGAUAUCAUUACCAUACCUAAAAUUAAAUAUUUAAUUAAAAUAUUAUUUUACUAUCAUCAAAAUUUAGAUUUAACCAAACUUUAGGCUAGUAUGUUGAUACGAUAAGUUAAUUUUCUAUCUUAAAGUUUUAAAAACUUUUGAAAUUAAACAUUUUCUUACACAUUUAUUUUUAAAGUUUUUUAGCAUAAAAUUUAAAAUUGAAGCUUUUAAGGGAAAACCUCAUAAUAUAAUAUACUAGAAAGACAUGGUCAAACAAAUAGAGACGAAGCCUCAAAAGGAAGGGGCAAUGGUUGAACCACUUGACAUUGUUGCCUACUACUAAGAUGGUGUAAGAAACAACAUAACCAAUGGAACAUAUGCACAUUAAACAUUGUACAAUUAUUAUAAAUGUCUUAUACAUUAUGUGUGAAAAUACGAAAUAAAUAAAUAAAAUUAUAUUCAACAUUUAUAUUUGUAUACAAACAAUAUUUUCGAUAGUUUGAUAUAAAAAAACAAAUAAAAAAAUGAAGAAAAGCAUAUAAAUAUAUUUUCAAUGGACAAACUUAUUCAAUUAGUAUAAAUAUCUUGUAUAUUUAAUACAAAUACCUUAUACUUUGUGAAAAUGUAAAAAUAUAGUAUUUGAUAUUUAUAAAUGUGGGUAAGUAAUUUUUCUAAUGGUUUGAUUUAAAAAAAAAAUAAUGAGAAUCAAGAAAUACAUGCAAAUAAAUUAGUGUGAAUGAUAAAGGAUGUUUUUUUACCAUAAAUUUUCAUGGACUUAGCAUCAAUUAUGCAUCUAUAGAUGUUAACCCAAUUAGCAUAAUGUGAAAACCCUUACACACAAUAUAUAAACCCUAUACUUGAAUUAGGAAGGACAAAAAAAAAAUAGUUAGAGCAUUUGGUACCAUCAAUGAUGACUUCACCUAAAGAAAAGUUAAUGAACAUUAUGUUCUCAAUGGAAGAGCAACCCUAGUAGGACAUAUGGAGUAAAUUGAUGCUCUUCUUUCGACAACGAAGUAGCUAAGUCAUGAAAAUGGGGUUUUGCUAACAACAUUAAAUGCAAGAAUUCCCCAAUAUACUGCAAUUCAUAUUCAAUUCAUAGACUUUCAACUAACUACUCUCAAUAACGAGCAAACCCAAGUCAAUACAUAAGAUUGAUUAUUACUUAUGAUAAUUGAAACCAUAAUUAAUAAGACAUAUAUAUAUAUAUAUAUAUAUAUAUAUAUAUAUAUAUAUAUAUAUAUAUAUAUAUAUAUAUAUAUAUAUAUAUAUAUAUAUAUAAAAAAAAUAGAGACAAUUGUGUUUUGGAUCCAGGUGGAUCAAAAAAUAAGGUUUGGUUUAUAGAACUUACAUAAUUGAUGGAAAUGAUAUAAGUUAUCAAAAGACCAAAAUACUCAUUGACCUUUCACGUAAGUUUUUUUGGUCUUUAUUGUACCACUAUUCAUGCAACCAUAAUAAUUUUAUUUUAACUAUUUGGAUUUUUCAUUGUUUUUUAAAACUUUUUUUUUUAUAAAUAAUUGAAAAUCAACAUUAUUUUCUAUUUUAAAUUAUAAAUAAAGAAAAAUUACGUUCAAAAACUAUUUUAAAAAAUACUUUCUAAAAAAAUGGUAAUAUGAUUUAUAUUUUUUACAUUUUCUAUUAGAAAAAAAUAUUUAAUUAAAAAUGAAAAAUAAUUUUUAAAAAUAAAAAUUGAAAACCUUGUUUAGUACUAUUUUUUUAUAUGAAAAUAAUAAAAAUAAUUAAAUUUCAUUAAUUGAUUAUCCAUUAAAUUUUAUAUGAAAAUUUUUUAUAAGAGUAAAAAGAUUCAAUAUCUUUAAAAAAAGAAAAAAAAAACAAAACAAAACAAUAAGUUAGAAAUGAGUAAUACUUAAUUGGGAAUAGAAAAGGGGAAAAAAUUGAAAUUUACACUCAUUAUAUGCCUAUGUAGGGAUUAAAGGUAUUUUAGGGAUUAAUGAAGGAUAAUAUCCUUUAACUUAAUUUUUAUAAUUUAUUUGGGUCUUGACCUUAAAUGUGCAUGAUAUAUGGAUCUUUGGUCAAUUUUUGGGCCCAUUCGGGCCCAAAAUACAAUUCUCCCUACAAAAAUAUUUAUUAAAAUAAAUUAAUUAAUAAAAGCCAUUUAAAGAGUUUCAUAACUUAGUAUCGAAGCUAUUGUAAGAAAAAAGUAUUAUAUAAUGUAGGGUUUAGGUUCAAAGUCUACCUAAGAUUAAAUUUAAGUCUCGAGACAAAUUCACAUUCAAAACUAGGUUUUUAAGUUUGAAAAAUAGAUCCCUUAAACAAAUUAAAUGGUAAAAAAUAAUUACAAAGAAAAUUUCUCUAGCUGGUUUCUUCAUCUUGAAAACUAACGGAAACAUAUAUUAAUAUUUGGUAUGAAAAUUCGUAACCUUAGAAACACAGCUUUGAGUCUUGCUGAGAAAAACAAAGCUUAUUUGCUCGUAGACCAUCGUAGUGGUCGUCAUACCGUGUGAGGACCGGGGAAGCAUCUUUGCUCGUAGACCGGCUUUUGUAGUCUUUCUUUAACAAUUACAAGUUGUCAGGAUUCCCUUCAUCCUCCCAAAUAAUAUUGUUUUUGGUCUUGUUCUGGUUGCAUCUCCGUGGAAGGAAAGAAGAUGAAUCAAGUUCCUUUGUAAGUAUCAAUGUCUCUGAUUCAUUUUUUGGUUCCUAGAAUCGAAUCCUCGCUCUGUUCUUGCUUAAUUUCUCCUUUUUCUGUUGGGUCUUUCACUGCAGGUUUAGCUCUGCACGGGAACUGGCAAAUUUGGUGCUGAGCUCCAAUCUAAUCGACUGUGCUUUCACCAAAAUUCUUGAACUUAAGAGAGGCCAAACAGCCUUGCCUGUUCAAUACAGACUUUAUCAACUGUCUUCCAAGUGCACAAUUGUAGCUUUUGUCUCUUCACCUGACUGCACUCAAUACCCUCUUCCUGGACAAGGAGAUUUAGAUCGGUCUCCUCUCUUUGACUUCCUCCGUACCGAAGAAUACCCGUCCGUCUCCAUUAACAGAGCAGCAUUAGCCCUCUAUACCCCUCUCCAUGAUCAUCUCUCUGGACUAACAGAUGAGGUCAAAAUCUGAUACUUGUUUGAAUUUUCGUUUCCUUUUCGUUAACAAUUGUGAGACACGAAACAGCUUGACCAUGAGAUCUCCCUCAUGGAGUCGAACUACCUGAAGGAUAAGACGUCACACAUAUCCAUUUUCAUGGCAUCGUCACAUGACCCAUUGAUCGGUUGUGAUUCAACUCUUAAUAGGAACACAGUAGAACUGGUGUUGGUAUAUCUGUCUUUAGAUAAGCUUGCAUAUAUCUUGUCACUGAAAAAGGAAUGUUCAGAAGUGAGAUUAGUGGCAUUAUUCUGACAUGGAUUUCAUAUGGUUACUUGUUUUGCAGUUGACUCAGAUUGAAGGUCAGUUAAUCAUCACUGGGCACUCCCUGGGAGGAUCCGUUGCUUCUCUCUUCACCUUACGCCUGCUAGAUGGCAAUUUAUUAAAACCCAAAUGCCGCCCCUUUUGUAUCACCUUUGGUUCACCCCUCAUAGGCGACUUUGGCCUCCAACACUCCAUAUGGAAUUCUUUCUUCCUGCAUGUAGUGUCUAACCAAGACCCAGUCCCCGGACUCUUCCUCCCAUCCGGCAGAUCUCCGCCCACAUCCUCCCAUUCACAAACUACCGGUUACAAGCCCUUUGGGACAUAUCUCUUGUGCUCUGAACUUGGUUGUGCUUGUUUUGACAACCCUGAUUUAAUUUUGGGAUUGCUUAAAGUCAUAUCAUCAGAGGUUGCCGGAGGAUUGCAGGAUGUUGACUAUGGGGAGAUUUUAAGAAACCUCAAGGAGAGGGCAAUCUGCAAGGGACUGCCGCAGGUGGGUGAACGGUUUGCAGAUCCAUUUUCAGCUGGGAUCAUCAUGGAACUUGAGACAAUUGGAUUUAAUCAAACAAAGGUAAACAGCUUUCUCCCAUCUAAUGAUGUUAUGAAACAUGGUUUACACUACACCAAAUACUGCAAUAACUGCCCUAUUCAGAUUUAUCUUCUUGUUCUUUGGGAUCUUCCAUAACUAGUCUCAUUUUUAAAAUUCAUGGCAGUUGCUGCAGCAUAACAUUGAUAUCAACGCUAUGAUAAGAACAAUGGAAGCGGAAACCAGAAGCCUAAUCCAGAAAAAUAAAGCUUCCGAUGCCAAGAAACUGAAUGACAUAAAAAGAGACAUGGCCCAUCUAGAAUGGUAUAAGAAGAAAUCGGAAAUGGGUUACUACGAUUGCUUCAAAAAUCAGGGGUCUAAAAGGGACAUCAACGUUGAACAAUUUAGGGGAAACCUCACAAUGUACUGGGAAGACAUGGUUGCACAAGUACAGAGGAAGCCCCAGAAGGAAGGAGCAACAUUUCGAACCCGUUGGUUCUAUGCAGGGACAGUUUAUAGGAGAAUGGUUGAACCACUGGACAUUGCUGCCUUCUACAGAGAGGGUGGAACAGACUACAUAAACAAUGGAAGAUCUCUUCAUUACAAGCUGUUGCAGCAAUGGUAUGAAGAAGAUGUGAAACCCCCCUCUAGAGAUAAGCUUGAUUCCAAGAAGCAAAAGGUGUCUGGUAUCCUAACUGAGGAUUCUUUGUUUUGGGCACAUGUGGAGGAGGCCAUCUUGUCAUGCGAAUUGCUCAAGAGUCAAAACUGUACUCUUGAGCAGGGAAAAUCAUCAUGGGAUAAUCUGGUUAAGUUCGAGGAGUAUGUAAUGGAACAUAUUAACAACUAUGCAGCGUCCCCUGAGAUUUUCUCGAGGGAAAGCAGCUUCAUGAAAUGGUGGGGACUGUAUGAGGGCUACAUAGAUACUUGCAGUAAUUCCCAUGGGUCGCCAUUGAUCAACUUCAUGAAGAAACGUAGCUAUAUGAAGUAUGGUUAGAGGGGCAAUCCAGUUUGUGUGUUGUGUUUGUUGUUUUGUGAGCGUUCAAUGGAUAAAACUAGAAAGAGUGACCUUUUUCCCUUUUUCUUGGUUGCUGCCCAUAUUCUCAGCACUAUUUUCUUCCUUCUUUUCCUCUGUUUUUUUGUUAAGAAAUGAAUAUUAUGAUGUUGCUGGGAUGCACUUUCAUUGUUGUUCUAUUACAUUGUGUUUUAUUUAUAUCCUAAACAAAUAAAUCAAAACAAGAAAAUCAAAUAAGACUUAAAGAGUCUUUUCCUUCAAAAAAAAAAAUGGGGAAAAAGAAAAACAUUUUUGUUUAGAUUCAACUCCACCAAAACUUGCAACAACUUCCCAUUGAAAAAUUCCUUUUAAGCUUCUGAAUGAUAUAAAACCAGAUAUGUUCCAGCUAGAAUGGUACAAGAAAGAAAUCAAAAGAUGAGUACAGUGGGUUAUUAUGACAGCUUUAGAAACCUGGGGUGUAAAAGAGACAUUAAAAUGGAACCGAUGGGAAGACAUGGUAGAACACGUAGAGAGGAAGCCUCACCAGGAAGGGGCAGCUUUGCAAACCCUCUGGCUCUGUACAGGAACGAAUUAUAGAAAGAUGGUUGAACCACUUGACAUUGUUCCCUACCACAGAGAGGGUGGAAGACACUACAUAACAUUACACGCUAUUGGAGCAAUGAUGCAAUGAAGAGGAGAAGGGGGCUUUGUCUUCUCAUGCAAAUUGCUCUCAGAGCUCAGAACCUACUCCUGAAGGGAAAGAAUCAUCAUUGAGUGAUCUGGUUAAGUUUGAGGAUUUAUUUAUAUAAUUGAACUGAUUGGAAGCUAUGCAGUGUCGGCCCCCGCCCGAGCAGCUUCAUGAAACGGUGGAAAGAGUUGGAAGAAGUCAUAGAUACUUGCUAUAGGAGCUUCAUGAAGUAUGGAGAGGUGUGGCAUAGAUACUUGCAGUCUCUGAAUUUCCCAAAUCCAAUUUCAGAUUGUGUAUUUAGAUUCGUGGAACUUGUUUUCUUGCUUUUUGUUAGGUACAAUUGAGAUGGGCUGAACCGAAAGGCCCGCCAGGAUGAACAAUAUAAUGGGCCUGAAUUUUAAACCAGCGGAUGGGCUUUGUACUGGAUUCAGCUGUCUGAGCCCAAUGAGUAUUGAAUGUAUUUCUGUAUAAAAUUAAAUUUUUAACAUUGAAAUAUAAGGACUUACUUAAAAACACAUUUGGUAACUUUUUUUUUUUUAUGGUUAAUAAUAGAUUUAAAAAAAAAUUAAAAAUAUAUAAUUUUUUAGGAUAAAUUUGAGGCAUGUUUAGGUAUUUUUCGUGGUAAAGAGUUUUGAGAAGCAAUGGGAAAUAUACAGAAUACUUUAAAAACUUUUGCAUAAGUAAGAUACUUACACGAGGCUUUCAUGAAAAAUAAAUUGAUAAAAACAAUUCUCAUAUUUAAAUUUCGAAACAUAAAACAACUCAGAACUGUUUUUAAAAAUUGUUCUUAAAAAUAGUUUUCUAUUAAGUCACAUUCAAGGAUGCUUUUAUCUUUUAUUUUUCUAUGUUUCAUCCUUGCAUAAAUGGAGUACAAAGACAUAAGUUAAUCUAAUUAACAAAUAUAGAUAAUCAUCCGAUAAAAGAGUAAAUUAGGUGAUGAUCUCUUUAUAUAUGCAAGUAAUGGAAUGAAUGUGAUGAAAAAUAAAAUAAAAAAGUAAGGGGAGAAAUGUUGUAAAUAAAGUGUUUUUAUUGUAGUUCAACGACCUAUCCACUUCCGCACCUUGACAUAUUUCACAAUUUUAAAAGUUUUCUUAAUCAUGAUUCUCUUUAUUAUUCUUUAAGUCCGGAUUUCUUAUGUUUCAAUAGACUUUUACAAUCACUAAGAUAGUGUUUGUUUUUUCACUUAAUUCUAAAUAUAACUUAAAACUAAAUAAUAUUUAAUAAUAUCAGGAUUAGGUUGUUUUUUUUAUAACAUUUUAUUUCUAUAUAAUAUUAAAAAGUAAAGAAAAAUCAAUAUAUUAUUUUUUUCAUUUAAAAAAAGUCAAAUAUUUUGACUUUUUUUUAAGCUAAAAAUUUAUAAUAAAAAAUAAAAAACAAACAAACAAACAAACAACUUAAAGUGUAAAAAUAGAUUGUUUUCAAUAAAAAUUUAAAAAAAAACAAACACCUUCUAAAUAAAAUUCCUUAACCACUCGUUCAAUAGCUCCUUUAAGCACAAAAUGUAUUGAAGUGCUCACAAUGAAAAGAUAAACAAGUUUUGAUUCAAUAUAAUUUUGGGUUAUCUAAUUAAAAGGGUCAUUGAAAACCCAAUUUUAGAAAUAUAACCCUUCAUCAUUUUUUUAUCUCGUGUUAACAAAAAUGCUCUUAUUAUUUUCUUAUAAAAAUAAUCAUUUCUUUUAAAACACACUAUAAAUACUCCAAAUAGCCAAGGGCUUUUAUGUAAAAAAAAAUGAAUUACUCUUCAAAUAAAAAUAUUGGAGGGAAUAAAUUCACAAAUAUGAGGUAUUUCAUCCCUUUUAAAUAAUUAUUUCUAUAAUUUUAAGAGUUUAAGAAGGCUAGACAAAGACUAAUUAUUAGGCACAUUUUGUAAAAACACUAGUUAUUAGACACAUUUUUUGCUCAAUCAAGCAAUCACACAGUUGACUAAACACUAAUUAUUGGACUUUUUUUUUUUAUAAUAAGUGGAAGACAAGAAUACAAUCGACUACUUUGGUCAAUUAAGCAAUCAUUCAGUUGACUAUAAACUAGUCUUUAGACAUUUUUUUUUAUAAUAAUUGGAAGACAUGAAUACAAUCGAUUACUUUGGUCAAUUAAUCAAUUAUUCAAGAAAUUUAGAAAAAUAUUGGAUAAAAGAUAUAUAUAACGGAUUAUUUCAAAUUGAAACUUAAGAUCAUAAAUCUUACUUUUAAUGUUGAAAAAUCAUGUAAAACACAAGUUUUUAUCUUUGAAGUAAUCAAUUUCAUUUUUCACAAAAAAUCAUUAAUAAUACAUGAAUGAAUUCUUUUAAAAAAAUCUUAUAAAAAAUGUGAUUAUUUUUCAUUCCCAAAUAUUUAGGUUCUAAAGGUCAAUUUUAAAGCAUACUUAUCCUUACUAUGCCUUACAAGAAAAUCUAUUCUAUACAUAUGAUCUUGUAAAAAACUGUAAAUAAAAAAGAAAAAAAGAAAAAAAACCUCUCUUGUUUUCCUCUUUUGAUUGGAUAUCAUUAUCAUACUUAAAAUUAAAUAUUUAAUCAAAAUAUUAUUUUACUAUCAUCAAAAUUUAGAUUUAACCAAACUUUAGGCUAGUAUGUUGAUACGACAAGUUAAUUUUCUAUCUUAAAGUUUUAAAAACUUUUGAAAUUAAACAUUUUCUUACACAUUUAUUUUUAAAGUUUUUAGCAUAAAAUUUAAAAUUGAAGCUUUUAAAGGAAAACCUCAUAAUAUAAUAUACUAGAAAGACAUGGUCAAACAAAUAGAGACGAAGCCUCAAAAGGAAGGGGCAAUGGUUGAACCACUUGACAUUGUUGCCUACUACUAAGAUGGUGUAAGAAACAACAUAACCAAUGGAACAUAUGCACAUUAAACAUUGUACAAUUAUUAUAAAUGUCUUAUACAUUAUGUGUGAAAAUACCAAAAAAAAAGAAAAAUUAUAUUCAACAUUUACAUUUGUAUACAAACAAUGUUUUCGACAAUUUGAUAUAAAAAACAAAUAAAAAAAAUAAAGAAAAACAUACAAAUAUAUUUACAAUGGACAAACUUAUUCAAUUAGUAUAAAUAUCUUGUAUAUUUAAUACAAAUACCUUAUACUUUGUGAAAAUGUAAAAAUAUAGUAUUUAAUAUUUAUACAUGUGGGUAAGUAAUUUUUCUAAUGGUUUGAUUUAAAAAACAAAUAAUGAGAAUCAAGAAAAACAUGCAAAUAAAUUAGUGUGAAUGAUAAAGGGUGUUUUUUACCAUAAAUUUUCAUGGACUUAGCAUCAAUUAUGCAUCUAUAGAUGUUAACCCAAUUAGCAUAAUGUGAAAACCCUUGCACACAAUAUAUAAACCCUAUACUUGAAUUAGGAAGGACAAAAAAAAAAUAGUUAGAGCAAUUGGUACCAUCAAUGAUGACUUCACCUAAAGAAAGGUUAAUGAACAUUAUGUUCUCAACGGAGAGCAACUCUGGUAGAACAUAUGGAGUAAAUCAAUGCCCUUCUUUUAACGAUGAAGUAGCUAAGUCAUGAAAACAAGGUUUUGCUAACAACAUUAAAGGCAAGAAUUCCCCCAAUAUACUCCAAUUCAUAUUCAAUUCACAGACCUUCAACUAACUACUCUCAGUAACGAGCAAACCCAAGUCAAUACAUAAGAUUGAUUAUUACUUAUGAUAAUUGAAACCCUAAUUAAAUAAAUAAGGACACAAAUAUAUAUAUAUAUAUAUAGGGACAGUUGUGUUUUGGACCUAGGUGAACCCAAAAAUUAAGGUUUGGUUUAUAUAACUUACAUAAUUGAUGAAAAUGAUAUAAGAUAUCAAAAUAUCAAAAUACUCAUUGACCUUUCACAUAAGCUUUUUUGGUAUUUAUUGCACUACUAUUCAUUCAACCAUAAUAAUUCUAUUUUAACUAUUUGGAUUUUUCAUUGUUUUUUAAAACUUUUUAUUUAUAAAUAAUUGAAAAUCAACAUUAUUUUCUAUUUUAAAUUAUAAAUAAAGAAAAAUUACGUUCGAAAACUAUUUUAAAAAAUACUUUCUAAAAAAAAUGGUAAUAUGAUUUAUAUUUUUUAUAUUUUCUUUUAGAAAAAAAUAUUUAAUUAAAAAAUGAAAAAUAUUUUUAAAAAUAAAAAUUGGAAACCUUGUUUAGUACUAUUUUUUUUAUAUAAAAAUAAUAAAAAUAAUUAAAUUUCAUUUAUUGAUUAUCCAUUAAAUUUUAUAUGAAAAUUUUGUAUAAGAGUAAAAAGAUUCAAUAUCUUUAAAAAAAGAAAAAAAAAACAAAACAAAAAGUUAGAAAUGAGUAAUACUUAAUUGGGAAUAGAAAAUGGGAAAAAUUUUGAAAUUUACACUCACUAUAUGUCUACGUAGGGAUUAAGGGUAUUUUAGGGAUUAAUGAAGGAUAAUAUCUUUUAACUUAAUUUUUACAUUUUAUUUGGGUCUUGGGAUUAAAUGUACAUUAUAUAUGGAUCUUUGGUUAAUUUUUGGACCCAUCCGGACCCAAAACACAAUUCUCCAUAAAAAAAUAUUUAUUAAAAUAAAUAAAUUAAUAAAAACCAUUUAGAGAGUUUCAUAACUUAGGUGGUGUUUGUUUUUUUGGCUUUUUGGUGAAAACCAUUUAGUUUUAGAAUUUAGGUUGUUUGUUUUUUUACUUUUUCAUGACUUAUUAUAAACUUUUUACAAAAUAGAAAAAGCCAAAAUAUAUGACUUUUUCUAAAUAGAAAAAUAACACAAUGGUUUUUUUUACUUUUUAAUACUUAAUAGAAAUAAAAUAUUAUAAAAACAAACAACCUAAUAUUUAAUACUAUUAAGUAUUAAAGUUCUAUUUAGAAUUAAGUAAAAAAACAAACACCACCUAAGUGUCGAAGCUAUUGUAAGAAAAAAGUAUUAUAUAAUGUAGGGUUUAGGUUCAAAGUCUACCUAAGAUUAAAUUUAAGUCUUAAGACAAAUUCACAUUCAAAACUAGGUUUUUAAGUUAGAAAAAUAGACCCCUUAAACCAAUUAAAUGGUAAAAAAAAAUUACAAAGAAAAUUUCUCUAGCUGGUUUCUUCAUCUUGAAAACUAACGGAAACAUAUAUCAAUAUUUGGUAUGAAAAUUCGUAACCUUAGAAACACAGCUUUGAGUCUUGCUGAGAAAAACAAAGCUUAUUUGCUCGUAGACCAUCGUAGUGGUCGUCAUACCGUGUGAGGACCGGGGAAGCAUCUUUGCUCGUAGACCGGCUUUUGUAGUCUUUCUUUAACAAUUGCAAGUUGUCAGGAUUCCCUUCAUCCUCCUAUAUAAUAUUGUUUUUGGUCUUGUUCUGGUUGUAUCUCCGUGGAAGGAAGGAAGAUGAAUCAAGUUCCUUUGUAUGUAUCAAUGUCUCUGAUUCAUUUUUUGGUUCCUAGAAUCGAAUCCUCGCUCUGUUCUUGCUUAAUUUCUCCUUUUUCUGUUGGGUCUUUCACUGCAGGUUUAGCUCUGCACGGGAACUGGCAAAUUUGGUGCUGGCCUCCAAUCUAAUCGACUGUGCUUUCACCAAAAUUCUUGAACUUAAGAGAGGCCAAACAGCCUUGCCUGUUCAAUACAGACUUUAUCAACUGUCUUCCAAGUGCACAAUUGUAGCUUUUGUCUCUUCACCUGACUGCACUCAAUACCCUCUUCCUGGACAAGGAGAUUUAGAUCGGUCUCCUCUCUUUGACUUCCUCCGUACCGAAGAAUACCCGUCCGUCUCCAUUAACAGAGCAGCAUUAGACCUCUUUACCCCUCUCCAUGAUCAUCUCUCUGGACUAACAGAUGAGGUCAAAAUCUGAUACUUGUUUGAAUUUUCGUUUCCUUUUCGUUAACAAUUGUGAGACACGAAACAGCUUGACCAUGAGAUCUCCCUCAUGGAGUCGAACUACCUGAAGGAUAAGACGUCACACAUAUCCAUUUUCAUGGCAUCGUCACAUGACCCAUUGAUCGGUUGUGAUUCAACUCUUAAUAGGAAUACAGUAGAACCGGUGUUGGUAUCUGUCUUUAGAUCAGCUUGCAUAUAUCUUGUCACUGAAAAAGGAAUGUUCAGAAGUGAGAUUAGUGGCAUUAUUCUGACAUGGAUUUCAUAUGGUUACUUGUUUUGCAGUUGACUCGGAUUGAAGGUCAAUUAAUCAUCACUGGGCACUCCCUGGGAGGAUCCGUUGCUUCUCUCUUCACCUUACGCCUGCUAGACGGCAAUUUAUUAAAGCCCAAAUGCCAUCCCUUUUGUAUCACCUUUGGUUCACCCCUCAUAGGCGACUUUGGCCUCCAAGACUCCAAAUGGAAUUCUUUCUUCCUGCAUGUAGUGUCUAACCAAGACCCAGUCCCCGGACUCUUCCUCCCAUCCGGCAGAUCUCCGCCCACAUCCUCCCAUUCACAAACUACCGGUUACAAGCCCUUUGGGACAUAUCUCUUGUGCUCUGAACUUGGUUGUGCUUGUUUUGACAACCCUGAUUUAAUUUUGAGAUUGCUGAAAGUCAUAUCAUCAGAGGUUGCCGGAGGAUUGCAGGAUGUUGAUUAUGGGGAGAUUUUAAGAAACCUCAAGGAGAGGGCAAUCUGCAAGGGACUGCCGCAGGUGGGUGAACGGUUUGCAGAUCCAUUUUCAGCUGGGAUCAUCAUGGAACUUGAGACAAUUGGAUUUAAUCAAACAAAGGUAAACAGCUUUCUCCCAUCUAAUGAUGUUAUGAAACAUGGUUUACACUUCACCAUAUACUGCAAUAACUGCCCUAUUCAGAUUUAUCUUCUUGUUCUUUGGGAUCUUCCAUAACUCGUCUCAUUUUUAAAAUUCAUGCCAGCUGCUGCAGCAUAACAUUGAUAUCGACGCUAUGAUAAGAACAAUGGAAGAGGAAACCAGAAGCCUAAUCCAGAAAAAUAAAGCUUCCGAUGCCAAGAAACUGAAUGACAUAAAAAGAGACAUGGCCCAUCUAGAAUGGUAUAAGAAGAAAUCGGAAAUGGGUUACUACGAUUGCUUCAAAAACCAGGGGUCUAAAAGGGACAUCCACGUUGAACAGUUUAGGGUAAACCUCACAAAAUACUGGAAAGACAUGGUUGCACAAGUACAGAGGAAGCCCCAGAAGGAAGGAGCAACAUUUCGAACCCGUUGGCUCUAUGCAGGGACAGUUUAUAGGAGAAUGGUUGAACCACUGGACAUUGCUGCCUUCUACGGAGAGGGUAAAACAGACUACAUAAACAAGAAAAGAUCUCUUCAUUACCAGCUGUUGCAGCAAUGGUAUGAGGAAGAUGUGAAACCCCCCUCUAGAGAUAAGCUUGAUUCCAAGAAGCAAAAGGUGUCUGGUAUCCUAACUGAGGAUUCUUUGUUUUGGGCAUAUGUGGAGGAGGCCAUCUUGUCAUGCGAAUUGCUCAAGAGUCAAAACUGUACUCUUGAGCAGGGAAAAUCAUCAUGGGAUAAUCUGGUUAAGUUCGAGGAGUAUGUAAUGGAACAGAUUAACAACUAUGCAGCGUCCCCUGAGAUUUUCUCGAGGGAAAGCAGCUUCAUGAAAUGGUGGGGACUGUAUGAGGGCUACAUAGAUACUUGCAGUAAUUCCCAUGGGUCGCCAUUGAUCAACUUCAUGAAGGAUCGUAGGUAUAUACAGUAUGGACGUUAGAGGGGCAAUCCAGUUUGUGUGUUGUGUUUGUUGUUUUGUGAGCGUUCAAUGGAUAAAACUAGAAAGAGUGUGACCUUUUUCCCUUUUUCUUGGUUGCUGCCCAUAUUCUCAGCACUAUUUUCUUCCUUCUUUUCCUCAGUUUUUUUUGUUAAGAAAUGAAUAUUAUGAUGUUGCUGGGAUGCACUUUCAUUGUUGUUCUAUUAAAUUGUGUUUUAUUUAUAUCCUAAACAAAUAAAUGUAAACAAGAAAAUCAAAUAAGACUUCAAAGAGUCUUUUCCUUCAAAAAAAAAAAAAAUGGGGAAAAAGAAAAACAUUUUUGUUUAGAUUCAACUCCACCAAAACUUGCAACAACUUCCCAUUGAAAAAUUCCUUUUAAGCUCUGAAUGACAUAAAACUAGAUAUGUUCCAGCUAGAAUGGUACAAGAAAGAAAUCAACAGAUGAGAACAAUGGGUUAUUAUGACAGCUUCAGAAACCUGGGGUGUAAAAGAGACAUUAAAAUGGAACCGAUGGGAAGACAUGGUAAAACACGUAGAGAGGAAGCCUCACCAGGAAGGGGCAGCUUUGCAAACCCUCUGGCUCUGUACAGGAACGAAUUAUAGAAAGAUUGUUGAACCACUUGACAUUGCUGCCUACCACAGAGAGGGUGGAAGACACUACAUAACCAAUGGAGGAUCUAAACAUUACACGCUAUUGGAGCAAUGAUGCAAUGAAGAGGAGAAGGGGGCUUUGUCUUCUCAUGCAAAUUGCUCUCAGAGCUCAGAACCUACUCCUGAAGGGAAAGAAUCAUCAUGGAGUGAUCUGGUUAAGUUUGAGGAUUUAUUUAUAUAAUUGAACUGAUUGGAAGCUAUGCAGUGUCGGCCCCCACCCGAGCAGCUUCAUGAAACGGUGGAAAGAGUUGGAAGAAGUCAUAGAUACUUGCUAUAGGAGCUUCAUGAAGUAUGGAGAGGUAUGGCAUAGAUACUUGCAGUGUCUGAAUUUCCCAAAUCCAAUUUCAGAUUGUGUACUUAGAUUCGUGGAACUUGUUUUCUUGCUUUUUGUUAGGUACAAUUGAGAUGGGCUGAACCGCAAGGCCCGCCAGGAUGAACAAUAUAAUGGGCCUGAAUUUUAAACCAGUGGAUGGGCUUUGGACUGGAUUCAGCUGUCUGAGCCCAAUGAGUAUUGAAUGUGUUUCUGUAUAAAAUUAAAUUUUUAACAUUGAAAUAUAAGGACUUACUUAAAAACACAUUUGGUAACUUUUUUUUUUUGGUUAAUAAUAGAUUGUUUAAAAAAAAAUUAAAAAAAUAUUAUUUUUUAGAAUAAAUUUGAGGCAUGUUUAGGUAUUUUUCGUGGUAAAGAGUUUAGAAGCAAUGAGAAUAUAUAUAGAAUACUUUAAAACUUUUGCAUAAUACUUACUUACAUGAUGCUUUCAUAAAAAAUAAAUCAAUAAAAACAAUUUUCAUAGUUGAAUUUCAAAACAUAAAACAACUCAGAAUUGUUUUUAAGAAUUGUUCUUAGAAAUAGUUUUCUAUUAAGUCACAUUCAAGGAAUCGUUUUCAUAUAUGCAAGUAAUGGAAUGAAUGUGAUGAAAAAUAAAAAAUAAAAAGUAAGGGGAAAGAUAUUGUAAAUAAAGUGUUUUUAUCGUGGUUCAAUGACCUAUCCACUUCCACACCUUGAUGUAUUUCACAAUUUUAAAAGUUUUCUUAAUCAUGAUUCUCCUUAUUAUUCUUUAUGUCGAGAUUUUUUAAGUUUUAAUAGACUUUUUCAAUCACUAAGGUGGUGUUUGCUUUUUCACUUAAUUUUAAAUAUAACUUAAAACUAAAUAAUACUUAAUAGUAUCAACUAUUAAGUUGUUUGUUUCUAUAACAGUUUAUUUCUAUAUAAUAUUAAAAAGUAAAGAAAAAUCAACAUGCUAUUUUUGUCAUUUAAAAAAAGUCAAAUAUUUUGAAUUUUUUUAUUUAGCUAAAAAUUUAUAAUAAAUCCUAAAAAGAUAAAUAAUAAUAAUAAUAAAUAAAUAAAUAAAUAAAAACAAAUAAACAACUUAAAGUCUAAAAACAAAUUGUUGUCAACAAAAAAUUAAAAAAACAAGCACUUUCUAAAUAAGAUUCCUUAACCACUCGUACAAUAGCUCCUUUAAGCACAAGAUGUAAUGAAUGAAUACAACUUUGGUGAAAUAACUAAAGUGCUCACAAUGAGAAAAUAAACAAGUUUGGAUUCAAUAUAAUUUUUGGCUAUCUAAUUAAAAGGGUAAUUGAAAACCCAAUUUUGGAAAUAUAACCCUUCAUCAUUUUUUUUACCUCAUUUUAAUAAAAAUACUCUUAUUAUUUUCUUAUAAAAAUAAUCAUUUCUUUUAAAACAUACUAUAAAUACUUCAAAUAAUCAAGAGCAUUUAUGUAAAAAAUGAAUUACUCUUCAAAUAAAAAUAUUGGAGGGAAUAAAUUCACAAAUAUAUGGGGUAUUUCAUCCCUUCUAACUAAUUAUUUCUAUAAUUUAAAGAGUUUAAGAAGGCAAGACAACUAAAUAAAUGAAGUUUUCAAGUUAUUGUCUCUAUCAUAAAUAAAGUCCAAUAAUCACAUUUGUAUCGUUUUGUACAAAGACUAAUUAUUAGGCAUAUUUUGUAAAAACACUAAUUAUUAGACACAUUUUUCGCUCAAUCAAACAAUCACACAGUUGACUAGAAACUAGUUGUUGGACAUUUUUUUUUAUAAUCAUUGGAAGACAAGAAUACAAUCGACUACUUUAAUCAAUUAAGCAAUCAUACAGUCGACUAUAAACUAGUCAUUGGACAUUUUUUUUAAAAUCAUUGGAAGACAGGAAUACAAUCGAUCACUUUGGUCAAUUAAUCAAUUAUUCAAGAAAUUUAGAAAAAUAUUGGAUAAACGACAUAUAGUGGAUUAUUUCAAAUUGAAACUUAAGAUCGGAAAUCUUGCUUUUAAAUCAUGUAAAACACAAGUUUUUAUCUUUGAAGUAAUCAAUCUCAUUUUUAACAAAAAAAAUCAUUAAUAAUAUAUGAAUGAAUUCUUUUAAAAAAUGUGAUUAUUUUUCAUUCCCAAAUACUUAUGUUCUAAAGGUCAAUUUUAAAGCAUACUUGUCCCUACUAUGCCUUAUAAGAGAAUAUAUUCUAUACAUGUGAUAUUGUAAAAAAGUUUAAAAAAUAAAUAAAUAAAUAAAUAAAACCUCUUUUGUUUUCCUCUUUUGACUAUAUAUCAUCAUUAUCAUACUUAAAAUUAAAUAUUCAAUCAAAAUAUUAUUUUAUUAUCAUCAAAAUUUAAAUUUAACCAAACUUUAGGCUAGUACGUUGAUAUGACAAGUUAAUUUUCUAUCUUAAAGUUUUAAAAACUUUGAAAUUAAACAUUUUCUUACACAUUUAUUUUUAAAGUUUUUAGCAUAAAAUUUAAAAUAAAAAAAUACAUUAUUUUCAAAUUCAUUUUGAAAAUUUUUAUUUUAAAAAUAAAAAAUUUAAUAAAAAAAAAUGCAGGCCAGUUUUUUUUCCCUCUUUUUACCCUACAGUUUAAUUAAUUUGAGGUUAGAGGAAAGCUAUGAAAGAAAGAAAAUAAAAAUAAAAAAGAAAAUGAAAGAAUGAAAAAUAUAGCAAAAAAAUUUAAAAGAAAAAAUCUACAAGCUAAUAUUUUUUUCUUAUUUGAGAUGAUAUUUUAUAUUUAGCUUUACUACAAGCUAAAGUCACCAAAACCAUGAUCACAAAAGGGUAAUAUUGAUAUAAUGAAAGAUUAUGAAAAAAAAAAAGUUCUAUAACAAGCAAUAUUUGCUUGACUUUCAUUUAAAAAAAUUUAAAAUCAAAAUACUUUUAGUAAAAUUAUCUAAACAUGUCAAACCUAAACGAAGUGAGUGUUUCAUAUUAAGUUAUUUUUUAAGCCAAAAAACUUAUUUUAAUAGAAUUAAUCACAUAGAUAAAAAGUUGCUAUCGUGGUGGGAAAAAGGUUUUCUUUCAUUUAUUAAAUGCUAAUAAAUUUUGAAUUAUUGAAUUCAUAAAUCUUUUAAUAAAGGUCUCAUUACGUUACAUCUAAGGUUUUAUUGUGUUGGCAUCUUAUGUCUGGUGUUAUUAUUUAUUUUAUAUCCAUUUUAUUGUUUUAUAGUUUAAUCUCAUUUGAUUGUACUAUCAUUAAAUAAUCUAAAUUUGAUUACUAUGAGAUUUUAAAGUUAGAUAUGAUGUCAAUCAUGGUAUAGAUUUUGAAAGAUAUUAUCAAAUCAAAUAUUUAGGGUAUUUGAUAAAUCAAUUUAAUAACUUAAAAUGAUUUAAUAAUUUAUUUAUAUUAAUUUAAAGUUUUCAAAUAAAUUUUUUUAUAAAUAUAAUUUUAGAUUUAAGUAAAGAUAAGUUAAUUUUAAAUUUUAAAUUAAAAUAAUUAACUCAUUCUUAGUUAAAUCUAAAACUAUAUUUAAAAUAAAUAAAAACAGAGAUGGAUAUAAAUUAAGUCAAUAACUCACUUUAAAUCAUUGACUUGAUUUACCAAACACUUCAAAAUCUCACAUUUACAAGACCUGAAGUGGAUCCUUUUCAAUGAAUAUUGUCAUAUUUGUUGGAGUGUACCCAAAAUCCAAAUAUUUCAGUCUUUUUUCUCUUUAUUUCAUUUUAAAAUAAAAUAAUAAUCAUUAUACCAUGAACUUUCAAAAGUACCAUCAUUAUGUCAGUGGAGAUGGGAAGCUGAAAGCCUGAAACAAAUCAAUGGUGAAAGACACCAGUUUUCCAACAACAAAAAAGGCCAAAUCUGAUUCCAACUCAUCCAGUCUAUCUGUGCACUUUGACAACUGAAACACUUUAUUCCAAUUCACAUUUCACUAGAAAUUCCAUUCCAUAUCUACUCAAUAUUCACUGAAAAGGGUUUACAAUGAAAUAACAACUNNNNNNNNNNNNNNNNNNNNNNNNNNNNNNNNNNNNNNNNNNNNNNNNNNNNNNNNNNNNNNNNNNNNNNNNNNNNNNNNNNNNNNNNNNNNNNNNNNNNGAAAUUCAAAGAGCAACACUACUAACAUCUCAGAAUCCUCUGUGCAAUCACUACCAAAACUUUUCCUUACACAUGAAUGAAGAAAUGAGGCUGUACAUAUAUAAUCUGCGGAUGACAACAUGCAAGAAUGCAAAUGGGGGAAAUGGGGAAACAAAUAUUCUAGACAGGGUCUUAUUGGAAAGAAUCUAGGAUUGGGGCUUGAAGAAAAAUGGAAGAAUGGCAUCAUAAGACUGCAGUCUGAGUGGGAGAAGAAUUCAGGCGGGAGAGACAGGUUGAAGAUGAGUUCAGUAAUGAGCUCUCAAGGCUUGGGCAUGGUUCAGGGAACACCCAUUGGGAGAACCCAGAGACAUUUGAGCAAACCCAAGAGAUGGAGGCAGGAGGAGUAGUUGAUAGGGAGAUGUUGGAUAGACAAAUGGAAGUGAACGGGGAUUCUUGAAUACCAGUGAAGCUUCCAGCAAUGGUUAUGUUUGUGCCGAUCACAUUCUGCAAGGUGAUGUGAUCCAAGACAGGGAGUGCAUUGGGGUCAAAAUGGUCAUCUGGGUGGGAGCCGAUUUGGCCUGUUGCACUGAAGGCUGUGUGGAUGUUUUCCAUUGCGACAUCUGAUAUGAUGAUUUCUUGGAUAUAACCACCUCUUCCCUUGGUAGUUCUGAACUCGAUGCCACUGAAUGAGUUGUAUAGGUGGACCUGCUCCACACAGACGUUAGAAAUGCCACCAGACAUCUCACUACCGAAGGCCAGGGAAGAGCCAGAUGAUGAUUGAAGGUUGACCCGUCUGAUGUGUACAUUUGUGGUGGGUCUACCAUAGGCAAUGCCAUAUUCAUCCCAGCCACUCUUGAGUGCAAUGGCAUCAUGGCCCAUGGCAAUGCUGCAAUCCUCUAUGCAGGUGCUAUCUGAAGAAUCUGAAAUCAAAACAUUAUACAAAGUUGACUUAGCAAAAUUCUUUUCAUGACUGAACCCUUCCUGAACAUAGAAAAAAGUAAAAUUAUAAUCUACAUGAACCACUAAACAAACCACAGGUAACAACCUGUUUCCUCUUUCAACAAAUAUCCCUAUCAAUAUACUUAAACAUUCAUAUAUACAUUAAAAACUAAUAUAGAUUUUCAGAAAUAUCUUACCAAUCGGAAGAGGGUUCAAACAAUAAACAAAGACAAAACAAUUCUAGCACUGAUAAUUAAAGAUCCAAAAGUUUAUCAAAUUUAGUAAAAAGAAACAGACCAAAACCUACAAAAUUAUUGUUAAACAAGUGAAAAACAAAACAUUAAAUUAUCUAUUAUCACUCUUGGAGACUGACGGUAUGAAAAUAAGUUCAAAUGCCUCAGAUUCCUUCACCUCCAUUCUUAAUUCCUAGCCUCUUCAACAACCAAGUUUCAAGUACCUUAAUUCGUCCAUCUCCAGAACUGAUAGCAAAGAAGUCCAAAGAAGGGGUAAAGGUUGUUAAUAAAUCUCGGAUAUUCGAUGGGCCCAUGGUCCUGUAUCAAAAGAAUAAAUUAAAUGUCAAAGUCCUUACAAUUCAUAAUUUACAAAUUAGAAAUGAAAUUGUAGAUAUACGAGAGGUGUUCCAAGACGUUAUUAAGGGAGAUUGACUGUAACUGCCUAUUGAUAAAGAAACAAAACAACUUACCAUGACGAAAAUAAUAUAGCUCAAAAUCACAGUAGGAAGUGCCAAAAAAAGGUGGCAAUCCUCUGAAACAUAUGAUGAAGAAGAUAUAAAAAAAUAUAUAAGAAAGACACAGCAUUAAAAAUUUUAAAGCUCGCCAAUAUGUUGCCAAUCCAGUAAAUCAUUUCAUUAACUAAACUGAUUCAGCACUUAAGCUCUAAUAACCUUUGUUUGGUAGCCGAGAAAAUGGAAGAGAAGGAGGAAAAAAAUGCAAUAUCAUGCUAUCUGUUACUGAAUCAAGCCAAACAAUUCAGUUAAACUUGGCUGAACAGCAGUUUUAGCUUUCUUAGCCUGAAUAACGAAAAUUCAAGAUUUUAUCUAUUUUACUUUCCUGCAUUUUCUCAGCUUCCCGGUUUGUCUACGGACAAACUAGAGGAAAAUAAAAUAAAAAAUAAAAAGAAAACUAAAACCAGGUAUUUUCAGUUGUUCUCCAUAAAAAGCAAACGAAAAAUCAACAGAACUAAAUCCUGAGCAAUUACCGAUCCGGCUCAGGCUGAAUUUCCGGUUCUCUUAGAAAAUAUUAUAUAGCAGUUCCAAUAAGGGACCGUCGUGCAUCAUUAUACUAAUUUUCCUCCGUUUUUCGGCAACCAAACAGAGGAUAAACUUGUUUUGAGGAGAAGAUGCACGCUUACCUGUUUUGGCGACCGGCGGCGGCGAGAUGCAAAGAAAAAGAGAGAACGAGAGAGGGGUUUUACCUGUUUUGGCGACCGGCAGCGGCUAGAAGCAAAGAAAAAGAGAGAACGAGAGUGGGGUUUUAGGAACGCAGCCGCGUAGCUGCUCAUUUCGCAAGGGCCCCUUUUUUAUUUCUUUUUCUUUUUUUUCAAUUUUAGGAUUUUUCAUUUUAGCCUCCAUAUUUGAGUGUAUUUAGAUUUGUGGAACCUGUUUUGGGGCUUUUUGUUAGGUACAAUUGAGAUGGGCUGAACCGAAAAGCCCGCCAGGAUGAACAACAUUAAUGGGCCUGAAUUUUAAACCUAUGAAUGGGCUUUAUACUGGAUUCAGCUGUCUGAGCCCAAUGAGUAUUGAAUGUGUUUCUGUAUAAAAUUAAACUUUUAACAUUGAAAUAUGAGGACUUACUUAAAAACACAUUUGGUAACUUUUUUUUUUGGUUAAUAAUGGACUUUAAGAAAAAAUUAAAAAUAUAUUAUUUUUUAGAAUAAAUUUGAGGCAUGUUUAGGUAUUUUUUGUGGUAAAGAGUUUUGAGAAGCAAUAGAAAAUAUAUAGAAUACUUUAAAAACUUUUGCAUAAGAUACUUACUUACACGAGGCUUUCAUGAAAAAUAAAUCGAUAAAAACAAUUUUCAUAUUUGAAUUGCGAAACAUAAAACAACUCAAAACUGUUUUUAAGCAUUGUUCUUAAAAAUAGUUUUCUAUUAAGUCACAAUCAAGGAAGCUUUUAUCUUUUAUUUUUCUAUGUUUCAUCCUUGCAUAAAGGGAGUAUAAAGACUAAAGUUAAUCUAAUUAACAAAUUUGGAUAAUCAUCCAAUAAAUGAGUAAAUUAGGUGAUGAUCUCUUUAUAUAUGCAAGUAAUGGAAUGAAUGUGAUGAAAAAUAGAAAAAAGUAAGGGGAGAAAUGUUGUAAAUAAAGUGUUUUUAUUGUGGUUCAAUGACCAAUCCACUUCCACACCUUGACAUAUUUCACAAUUUUAAAAGUUUUCUUAAUCAUGAUUCUCCUUAUUAUUUUUUAAGUCCGGAUUUCUUAAGUUUCAAUAGACUUUUACAAUCACUAAGAUGGUGUUUAUUUUUUCACUUAAUUCUAAAUAUAAGUUAAAACUAAAUAAUAUUUAAUAAUAUCAAGUAUUAGGUUGUUUUUUUUUAUAACAUUUUAUUUUUAUAUAAUAUUAAAAAGUAAAGAAAAAUCAAUAUGUUAUUUUUUUCAUUUAAAAAAAGACAAAUAUUUUGCCUUUUUUUUAAGCUAAAAAUUUAUAAUAAAAAAAAAAAAGCAAACAAUUUAAAGUGUAAAACAGAUUGUUUUCAACAAAAAUUUAAAAAAACAAACACUUUCUAAAUAAGAUUCCUUAGCCACUUGUACAAUGGCUUCUUUAAGCACAAAAUGUAAUAAAUGAAUACAACUCUGGUGAAAUGACUAAAGUGCUCACAAUGAGAAGAUAAACAAGUUUGGAUUCAAUAUAAUUUUGGGUUAUCUAAUUAAAAUGGUCAUUGAAAACCCAAUUUUGGAAAUAUAACCCUUCGUCAUUUUUUUACCUCAUUUUAACAAAAAAAAGCUCUUAUUAUUUUCCUAUAAAAAUAAUCAUUCCUUUUAAAACACACUAUAAAUACUUCAAAUAGCCCAAGGUUUUUAUGUAAAAAAAAAUGAAUUACUCUUCAAAUAAAAAUAUUGGAGGGAAUAAAUUCACAAAUAUGGGUAUUUCAUCUCUUUUAACUAAUUAUUUCUAUAAUUUUAAGAGUUUAAGAAGGCUAGACAAAGACUAAUUAUUGGACUUUUUUUUUUAUAAUCAAUGGAAGACAGGAAUACAAUCGACUACUUUGAUCAAUUAAGCAAUUAUACAGUUGACAAUAAACUAGUCGUUAGACAUUUUUUUUUAUAAUAAUUGGAAGACAUGAAUACAAUCGAUUACUUUGGUCAAUUAAUCAAUUAUUUAAGAAAUUUAAAAAAAUAUUGGAUAAAAGAUAUAUAUAUAUAUAACGAAUUAUUUCAAAUUGAAACUUAAGAUCAGAAAUCGUGCUUUUAAUGUUGAAAAAUCAUGUAAAACACAAGUUUUUAUCUUUGAAGUAAUCAAUUCAUUUUUCACAAAAAAUCAUUAAUAAUACAUUAAUGAAUUCUUUUAAAAAAUCUUAUAAAAAAUGUGAUUAUUUUUCAUUCCCAAAUACUUAGGUUCUAAAGGUCAAUUUUAAAGCAUACUUAUCCUUACUAUGCCUUACAAGAAAAUCUAUUCUAUACAUAUGAUUUUGUAAAAAAGUGUAAAUAAAAAAAAUAAAAAAUAAAAAAUAAAAAAUAAAAAAAACCUCUCUUGUUUUCCUCUUUUGAUUGGAUAUCAUUAUUAUACUUAAAAUUAAAUAUUUAAUCAAAAUAUUAUUUUACUAUCAUCAAAAUUUAGAUUUAACCAAACUUUAGGCUAGUAUGUUGAUAUGACAAGUUAAUUUUCUAUCUUAAAGUUUUAAAAACUUUUGAAAUUAAACAUUUUCUUACACAUUUAUUUUUAAAGUUUUUAGCAUAAAAUUUAAAAUUAAAGCUUUUAAGGAAAAACCUCAUAAUACAAUAUACUAGAAAGACAUGGUCAAACAGAUAGAGAGGAAGCCUCGAAAGGAAGGGGCAAUGGUUGAACCACUUGACAUUGUUGCCUACUACUAAGAUGGUGUAAGAAACAACAUAACCAAUGGAACAUAUGCACAUUAAACAUUGUAUAAUUAUUAUAAAUGUCUUAUACAUUAUAUGUGAAAAUACGAAAAAAAAAAUAAAAUAAAAUUAUAUUCAACAUUUAUAUUUGUAUACAAACAAUAUUUUCAAUACUUUGAUAUAAAAAACAAAUUAAAAAAAUGAAGAAAAACAUAUAAAUAUAUUUACAAUGGACAAACUUAUUCAAUUAGUAUAAAUAUCUUGUAUAUUUAAUACAAAUACCUUAUACUUUGUGAAAAUGUAAAAAUAUAGUAUUUGAUAUUGAUACAUGUGGGUAAGUAAUUUUUCUAAUGGUUUGAUUUAAAAAACAAAUAAUGAGAAUCAAGAAAAACAUGCAAAUAAAUUAGUGUGAAUGAUAAAGGGUGUUUUUUACCAUAAAUUUUUAUGGACUUAGCAUCAAUUAUGCAUCUAUAGAUGUUAACCCAAUUAGCAUAAUGUGAAAACCCUUACACACAAUAUAUAAACCCUAUACUUGAAUUAGGAAGGACAAAAAAAAAAAUAGUUAGAGCAUUUGGUACCAUCAAUGAUGACUUCACCUAAAGAAAAGUUAAUGAACAUUAUGUUCUCAAUGGAAGAGCAACCCUAGUAGGACAUAUGGAGUAAAUUGAUGCUCUUCUUUCGACAACGAAGUAGCUAAGUCAUGAAAAUGGGGUUUUGCUAACAACAUUAAAUGCAAGAAUUCCCCAAUAUACUGCAAUUCAUAUUCAAUUCAUAGACUUUCAACUAACUACUCUCAAUAACGAGCAAACCCAAGUCAAUACAUAAGAUUGAUUAUUACUUAUGAUAAUUGAAACCCUAAUUAAUAAAUAAGGACACAAAUAUAUGUAUAUAUAUAUAUAUAUAUAUAUAUAUAUAUAUAAAAUAGAGACAAUUGUGUUUUGGACCCAGGUGGAUCAAAAAUUAAGGUUUGGUUCAUAAAACUUACAUAAUUGAUGGAAAUGAUAUAAGUUAUCAAAAUACCAAAAUACUCAUUGAUCUUUCACGUAAGCUUUUUUUGUCUUUAUUGCACCACUAUUCAUGCAACCAUAAUAAUUCUAUUUUAACUAUUUGGAUUUUUCAUUAUUUUUUAAAACUUUUUUUUUAUAAAUAAUUGAAAAUCAACAUUAUUUUCUAUUUUAAAUUAUAAAUAAAGAAAAAUUACGUUCAAAAACUAUUUUAAAAAAUAAUUUCUAAAAAAAUGGUAAUAUGAUUUAUAUUUUUUAUAUUUUCUUUUAGAAAAAAAUAUUUAAUUAAAAAAUGAAAAAUAUUUUUCAAAAUAAAAAUUGAAAACCUUGUUUAGUACUAUUUUUUUAUAUGAAAAUAAUAAAAAUAAUUAAUUUAUUAUCCAUUCAAUUUUAUAUGAAAAUUUUUUAUAAGAGUAAAAAGAUUCAAUAUCUUUAAUAAAAGAAAAAAAAAACAAAACAAAAAGUUAGAAAUAAGUAAUACUUAAUUAGGAAUAGAAAAAGGGAAAAAUUUUGAAAUUUACACUCACUAUAUGCCUAUGUAGGGAUUAAAGGUAUUUUAUGAAUUAAUGAAGGAUAAUAUUUUUUAACUUAAUUUUUACAAUUUAUUUGGGUCUUGGGCUUAAAUGUGAAUGAUAUAUGGAUCUUUAGUCAAUUUUUGGGCCCAUCCGGGCCCAAAACACAAUUCUCCCUAAAAAACUAUUUAUUAAAAUCAAUAAACUAAUAAAAACCAUUUAGAGAGUUUCAUAACUUAGUGUCGAAGCUAUUGUAAGAAAUAAGUAUUAUAUAAUGUAGAGUUUAGGUUUAAAGUCUACCUAAGAUUAAAUUUAAGUCUUAAGACAAAUUCACAUUCAAAACUAGGUUUUUAAGUUAGAAAAAUAGAUCUCUUAAACCAAUUAAAUGGUAAAAAAAAUUACAAAGAAAAUUUCUCUUGCUGGUUUCUUCAUCUUGAAAACUAACGGAAACAUAUAUCAAUAUUUGGUAUGAAAAUUCGUAACCUUAGAAACACAGCUUUGGGUCUUGCUGAGAAAAACAAAGCUUAUUUGCUCGUAGACCAUCCUGGUGGUCAUCAUACCGUGUGAGAACCGGGGAAGCAUCUUUUCUCGUAGACCGGCUUUUGUAGUCUUUCUUUAACAAUUACAAGUUGUCAGGAUUCCCUUCAUCCUCCUAUAUAAUAUUGUUUUUGGUCUUGUUCUGGUUGUAUCUCCGUGGAAGAAAGGAAGAUGAAUCAAGUUCCUUUGUAAGUAUCAAUGUCUCUGAUUCAUUUUUUGGUUCCUAGAAUCGAAUCCUCGCUUUGUUCUUGCUUAAUUUCUCCUUUUUCUGUUGGGUCUUUCACUGCAGGUUUAGCUCUGCACGGGAACUGGCAAAUUUGGUGCUGAGCUCCAAUCUAAUCGACUGUGCUUUGACCAAAAUUCUUGAACUUAACAGAGACCAAACAGCCUUGCCUGUUCAAUACAGACUUUUUCAACUGUCUUCCAAGUGCACAAUUGUAGCUUUUGUCUCUUCACCUGACUGCACUCAAUACCCUCUUCCUGGACAAGGAGAUUUAGAUCGGUCUCCUCUCUUUGACUUCCUCCGUACCGAAGAAUACCCGUCCGUCUCCAUUAACAGAGCAGCAUUAACCCUCUAUACCCCUCUCCAUGAUCAUCUCUCUGGACUAACAGAUGAGGUCAAAAUCUGAUACUUGUUUGAAUUUUCGUUUCCUUUUCGUUAACAAUUGUGAGACACGAAACAGCUUGACCAUGAGAUCUCCCUCAUGGAGUCGAACUACCUGAAGGAUAAGACGUCACACAUAUCCAUUUUCAUGGCAUCGUCACAUGACCCAUUGAUCGGUUGUGAUUCAACUCUUAACAGGAAUACAGUAGAACUGGUGUUGGUAUCUGUCUUUAGAUAAGCUUGCAUAUAUCUUGUCACUGAAAAAGGAAUGUUCAGAAGUGAGAUUAGUGGCAUUAUUCUGACAUGGAUUUCAUAUGGUUACUUGUUUUGCAGUUGACUCAGAUUGAAGGUCAGUUAAUCAUCACUGGGUACUCCCUGGGAGGAUCCGUUGCUUCUCUCUUCACCUUACGCCUGCUAGAUGGCAAUUUAUUAAAGCCCAAAUGCCGCCCCUUUUGUAUCACCUUUGGUUCACCCCUCAUAGGCGACUUUGGCCUCCAACACUCCAUAUGGAAUUCUUUCUUCCUGCAUGUAGUGUCUAACCAAGACCCAGUCCCCGGACUCUUCCUCCCAUCCGGCAGAUCUCCGCCCACAUCCUCCCAUUCACAAACUACCGGUUACAAGCCCUUCGGGACAUAUCUCUUGUGCUCUGAACUUGGUUGUGCUUGUUUUGACAACCCUGAUUUAAUUUUGGGAUUGCUUAAAGUCAUAUCAUCAGAGGUUGCCGGAGGAUUGCAGGAUGUUGAUUAUGGGGAGAUUUUAAGAAACCUCAAGGAGAGGGCAAUCUGCAAGGGACUGCCGCAGGUGGGUGAACGGUUUGCAGAUCCAUUUUCAGCUGGGAUCGUCAUGGAACUUGAGACAAUUGGAUUUAAUCAAACAAAGGUAAACAGCUUUCUCCCAUCUAAUGAUGUUAUGAAACAUGGUUUACACUUCACCAAAUACUGCAAUAACUGCCCUAUUCAGAUUUAUCUUCUUGUUCUUUGGGAUCUUCCAUAACUCGUCUCAUUUUUAAAAUUCAUGGCAGCUGCUGCAGCAUAACAUUGAUAUCAACGCUAUGAUAAGAACAAUGGAAGCUGAAACCAGAAGCCUAAUCCAGAAAAAUAAAGCUUCCGAUGCCAAGAAACUGAAUGACAUAAAAAGAGACAUGGCCCAUCUAGAAUGGUAUAAGAAGAAAUCGGAAAUGGGUUACUACGAUUGCUUCAAAAAUCAGGGGUCUAAAAGGGACAUCAACGUUGAACAGUUUAGGGGAAACCUCACAAUGUACUGGGAAGACAUGGUUGCACAAGUACAGAGGAAGCCCCAGAAGGAAGGAGCAACAUUUCGAACCCGUUGGCUCUAUGCAGGGACAGUUUAUAGGAGAAUGGUUGAACCACUGGACAUUGCUGCCUUCUACAGAGAGGG